GCCGGGCAUGGUGGUGUGUGCCUGUAGUCCCAGCUACUCAGGAGGCUGAGGUGGGAGGAUCACUUGAGCCCAGGAGGUCAAGGCUGCAGUGAGCCGAGAUUGUGCCACUGCACUCCAGCCUGGGCAACAGAGUGAGGCCCUGUCUCAA
rnacentral:SRP_RNA from 1 species